UACGUAGGUGGCAAGCGUUGUCCGGAUUUACUGGGCGUAAAGAGCGCGCAGGCGGUCGUUUCAAGUCGAGUGUGAAAGCCCCCGGCUCAACUGGGGAGGGUCAUUCGAUACUGAUCGACUGGAAGGCAGGAGAGGGAAGCGGAAUUCCCGGUGUAGAGGUGAAAUUCGUAGAUAUUCGGAAGAACACCAGUGGCGAAGGCGACUCACUGGACAGGUAUUGACGCUGAGGUGCGAAAGCGUGGGGAGCAAACAGGG
rnacentral:rRNA from 1 species